UGUUCAGGGCUGCCGUGUGUCGUAUCCUCAUUCUCGUAACGUAUAUAUGUUCUUGUCAUAUUUGUGUUUGUCCUGCGAUCAGGUCUCAUAAGUAAAGUCCGGUGGACAACCUCAAUGACACCUACCAGAAUAACUAAUAGUGGGUGGGAGAAGUGAUGUUCCCCGAAAUGUCGAACGUAGAUGUUAUCUAAGAGGAGACGUAUUGUUGGUUCCGUCCUAGAGAGGGCGCUAAGGUGAAAUAUAAAGUUAUUAAGUUGAUUUGUAUAAAUAGUAGAUUGGUAUAAAAUCUUUCUUUGCAUCGAAAUAAUCGCUUCAAAAUCGUAUUGUGAGGUCCGAUUCUCGCCCGUAAACUGGCGGCGAAAUGGUGCUGGGACAUUUUUGUAAUUGGGCGUGUAUCAGAACCUUCACUACCAACUGUCCUCAAACCCUCUUCCUCCCUCUGUUCAGUCGGCACCAUGAAGAGCUCCUCGACCCUCCUCCUCCUCACCCUGCUCUCUCUGUUGGCGGGCGUCCCCGCCGCUGACCCAUCCAGUGAGAGCCCGGACCCCUCCCCCUCGAACUCCUCCACCCUUGGCGGCUCCGUCCUGAACACCUCCGCCCCGGACCCCUCCCCCUCAGACCUGACGACCCAGGGAGACCCUUCCGCCUCGAACCAAACCUCAGACGGCCCCGGCUCCUCCCCGACACCGGAGUACAACGCCACCGACGGCCCGACCCGGCCCCCCAGCUCGGUGCUCCCCGCUCAUACCUCCACCACCGCCAAGCCCACCACCGCCACCACGGAGCGCUGCAUGUUCCCCCGGACGCAGGGGCGCGUGGUGCUGAUGGUGGCGGGCGCGCUGACGGUGGCGUGCGUGGGCCUGCUGGUCACCACCGCCCUGCUGACCUGGAAGCUCUGCCAGCGGCGGCGGGAGGCGGAGCCAGACAGCGACCUCAUCAGCAACUCUGAGUUCUGGAUGGGCAGCGCGCGGCGCAACAAGGCCAAGCCACCCCCCGCCAACGACACCUGCCUGCUGCUCGGACACCUGGAGACGAAGGGGGGGCAGCGGGGGGCCGAGGGGGGCGACGGAGGGGAGGCAGGCGAGGAGCAGGAGGGGAAGGGGGGAGAGGGGGAGGUGGACGCGGAGGCGAACGGGAUGGCCGGCGUCCUGGCCCCAGCGGGGUCCCAGUGAGUCUGGACCCCC
ensembl:lncRNA